rnacentral:rRNA from 1 species
UGCCAGACUCCUACGGGAGGCAGCAGUGGGGAAUAUUGCACAAUGGGGGAAACCCUGAUGCAGCGACGCCGCGUGAGUGAAGAAGUAUCUCGGUACGUAAAGCUCUCUCAGCAGGGAAGAAAAUGACGGUACCUGAUUAAGAAGCCCCGGCUAACUACGUGCCAGCAGCCGCGGUAAUACGUAGGGGGCAAGCGUUAUCCGGAAUUACUGGGUGUAAAGGGAGCGUAGACGGUUAAGUAAGUCUGGAGUGAAAGGCCGGGGCCCAACCCCGGGACUGCUCUGGAAACUAUUGAACUUGGGUGCAGGAGAGGUAAGCGGAAUUCCUAGUGUAGCGGUGAAAUGCGUAGAUAUUAGGAGGAACACCAGUGGCGAAGGCGGCUUACUGGACUGUAACUGACGUUGAGGCUCGAAAGCGUGGGGAGCAAACAGGAUUAGAUACCCGGGUACC